UAUACAGAGUUCAUUCCGCCAUAAUAAAGGGAUUUCCGGAAGUGGGGUCAGAUGUUACCUUGGUUACAUGCGUUUUCUUUGGUGCAGGACGUCACCACUGUAUUAUCUAGGGUGACCAACCGUCCUCUUUUCCCCGGACAUGUCCACUUUUCACGUUCUGUCCGGGGCGUCCGGGGGGAUUUUCGAGAUUGAUAAAAAUGUCCGGGUUUUCCUAUAGUCCGACAGAGGACCCAUGUGUGUGACGUCAUCCCCGAACUGCUGUUUUGUGAGCGCUUAUUCUGCACUCACAGACGGGACAGACAGCGCACAGCAACGCGCCUAAUGAUGUUUAAAAGAUCCCAAAGCGCAAGUGCAUCUUUUCAGACGAACUGCAAUAGAAAUUUCCCUCAUACCAACCAUAGCUGGACUGGCCAUGGGCCCACUGGCGAUGCUCCCACAGAGGCCAGCAGGUGGAUGAGGGAAAGGGGAGGCAGGAGGAGGAGAGACCCGAGGUGGCCGCUGGUCCAAGUGUCAGGUGAACUGAACUUCAGAAACGCGGAGUUGGCGAGGCCGGUUCUCACAGCGACAGGCAGUUGUCUGAGAAAGAGAUGGACGAAAAGGAAUCCCCCGUCGUCGGAACCGAGCAAGGACAACAUGUUUUCCAUGAGUUCAAGAGCUGUGCCUCCGCCCAGCCCGGAGAGGGAGAGAAGUUUCUCGGCUCGCUCCGCACCGGUGAGGGUGUAUCGCCGCAGUAGUAGGUCCUUAAGGGCGACGUAUUUCCCUUGCGCGGACAUUUUUUAAGGAGAAGAUUGCUGUUUGGCUGAAUUGGUCCCAGUGUCCAAAGGUGCACAGAUGCAUCUACUAGGUGGCCAAGGAGUAUUACCAGUUCCCACCAGUAUCUAUUCUUUUCUCAUUAUGAGGUAUUGUGGAGGGGAAACAAAUUUAAUCGGUUUUGGAAUAAGUCUGUAACAUAACAAAAUGGGGAACAAGUAAAGCACACUAGCCCUAACCCUGUGUUCUCAGGGUAGAGAGAUUAUGAAGGAACAAUAAACACCACUGGCUAAAUAUUAUGUGUCACAUCAAUGUCUUUAUUCCAGAUUAAUUUAUCUUAAGUUUAAAAACAAGAAACGGGUAAUACCUGUGCAUGCGUGUGUGUGUGCGCGCGUGCGUGCGUGUGUAUAAUAUGCAUACUUUACAUGUUGUAUCCAAAUCCCAG
ensembl:lncRNA